GACGAACGCUGGCGGCGUGCUUAACACAUGCAAGUCGAACGGAAAGGCCCUGCUUUUGUGGGGUGCUCGAGUGGCGAACGGGUGAGUAACACGUGAGUAACCUGCCCUUGACUUUGGGAUAACUUCAGGAAACUGGGGCUAAUACCGGAUAGGAGCUCCUGCUGCAUGGUGGGGGUUGGAAAGUUUCGGCGGUUGGGGAUGGACUCGCGGCUUAUCAGCUUGUUGGUGGGGUAGUGGCUUACCAAGGCUUUGACGGGUAGCCGGCCUGAGAGGGUGACCGGCCACAUGGGGACUGAGAUACGGCCCAGACUCCUACGGGAGGCAGCAGUGGGGAAUAUUGCACAAUGGGCGGAAGCCUGAUGCAGCAACGCCGCGUGCGGAUGACGGCCUUCGGGUUGUAAACCGCUUUCGCCUGUGACGAAGCGUGAGUGACGGUAAUGGGUAAAGAAGCACCGGCUAACUACGUG
rnacentral:rRNA from 1 species